AUGCAGCUAAGCUUCAUGGUGAAUAGUCUUUCUUACAACAGCAAUUCAGAGGAUGCUGCAACUGCAACUGAGGGCAAACUACAAAAACAGAAGAGAUCAUCAGGGUCUCUGUUUGCAUGCUCUUCAGAAGCUACAGACAGCAAAUCUGCAUCGCACAGUCAGUAUAGCAGCAUUACAAGGCAGUGUGAUCCUGCCAUCACUUGCAAAGCCAAACUCCUCCUGGACAUCCUCAGAAGCUUGCCGAAGAUCGUCAUGCUGAGGUACACCAAUGGCACCAUGAAACGCCUCCCAUCGGUCGUGUACUUGACACAGUGGCCCUUGUUUGGCACAGAACUGCAGCAUUCUUGA
rnacentral:rRNA from 1 species